UACGUAGGGUGCGAGCGUUACUCGGAAUUACUGGGCGUAAAGCGUGCGUAGACGGUUACAUAAGUCGGGUGUGAAAGCCCCGGGCUCAACCUGGGAAUUGCAUUCGAGACUGCGUAGCUAGGGUGCGGAAGAGGGAAGCGGAAUUUCCGGUGUAGCGGUGAAAUGCGUAGAUAUCGGAAGGAACACCAGUGGCGAAAGCGGCUUCCUGGUCCAGCACCGACGUUCAGGCACGAAAGCGUGGGGAGCAAACAGG
rnacentral:rRNA from 1 species